UAAACACAAAGAUGGAAGGGUCUCUUUAUAAACAAGAACUUACGAAAUGUAGAAAAAGACUGGUCUUUGGUCGUCUUGGGUAACUGAUCACGUCUGAUGCACAACAAAGCAGAUUCAAGUUCGAUUAUUUAACUCCUGAAAGGUUAUAGCCACAGAAAGAAAGCAGUCCAAAUUACUGUUGCUAAAAAGGAAAAAAAAUCAUAGAUUAUGGCCUCAAAUGACAUCGAAUAAUUCUGUUAUGAAGAAUGUAGAGGUAAGAUGCAAGUUAAAUAUUUCUCUGAAAUCCGGAACAAAUGAGGAACACAGAAAUCAUGUGUGCUGAGUGCAAACUCCGCCCCUGAUACCGUUCAGCUUCUGCCAAGGCUUGGCUGGUCCUCUUUGGGAAUAAAGUUCCAGUCCUGCUUCACUGAUUAAGUAAAGGAACGAUCAGGUCUACACACGGGAUCACGAAGGUGAGAAUUUUUGGAGUCAGAAUAUUAAGUAAGCUACCGCAGAAACACUAAGCAGCUUUGUUAUACACGAAAAAUAUUAGUUUUUUCAAGAAGAAAAUACACGAUAGCUGGUGAGAGGACCUGCCCGAUUAACCAAACGAAGGCUAUUAGGAAGGACUGCCUUAACCAAACAGGAAGGGAGGAACGUAUGAACUGGGUAAUGCCAUCAAAUCCUGGAUUAUCACAGGCUGACAACUUAAGUGAGUGGGUCACAAUGCGGAAAUGAAGGAAGAGGAGGCUUUACACACUGUGCUAGAGUGGAUUAGGCCCAGUUUGUCACCUGGAUAUAUGAACUGUAAAGGAAAGUAUCUGCAGUGUGCUGGCACAUGAAUGAAACAAGUUGAAUGGAUGUCAGUCCCACAAUUCCACAAGAAUUGUAAAGGGCCCGAAUGAAGUAUGGAAAUGACCUCAUUGAGAAAAAAUGUUGGAAAGUCAUACUUUCACAUGGAGCGAUCUUAAUCUUACUGAUGCUGUUUAUCAAGUCGUAGCAGUGCCUUUUCACCCAAAGUCGAGUUGAGUUCAGCUUUACGAAUGUUUAUCAUUAUGAGGUAGUUCACUUUGAUUAAAGAAAUAUAAUCUGUUACUUCAACUUAUCACAUGUUUAAUAUUUAAGGAUAUAUAUUUUUCACGCUCUGUACUUCCCGGUUUAAUGCUUCCCAUUAGGUAGCUCUGUCUUAUUCAGGAUGUAUAUUCUUUUUCAUACCUAUAGCUCCUUUCAGUUUAAUCUUACUAAUGAGCAUUUACCUAGAGUUUUUAUAAGUUUAAUAUCGGGUAACUAUAGCCCGUAUGCUUCAGAUUACGUAGUUUUUGCUUGGACUUCUCAUCACAUUAUAUCGCCUGUCGGUUAUUUCAGUAUAUGUCAGGAUACACAGUUAAUCUCAAAAAGCUGCAAGGCAGCACCGUCUUUUGGGAUAUGUAUUGUUAACUUUCUUGUCGGUUCAACAAGCGCAAUGUGGUACCUCAGGAUACAUAGUUUUUCCUGCGUAAGAUUCAUAAAUUUAUCACCUUAAAUACUUCAGUACACUUCACGAUAGUUUUGAUUUCUUACCAGUGUAAAGUGGCUAACACCUCAAUCAUGUUUAGGAUAGUUUUUUUCAAAUAAAUUCCUUAUGUUUAAUAUCAACUACCAGGAUACACAGUUUUGCUUUAACUUGGAUCGAGUGCCAGCCUGAUAUCAAUCAAAGGUAGCCCGGUGUAUCUGAAUAUGUAGGUAAUUAAAUUUUCUUGUCAAGUACUAGCUAUCUAGCAAAUUUCAGGAUACGUGCUUUCGUUUUUACGCAAGAUUCAUAGCUUACUAAAAUUAGCCAUCAAAAAUAUCGGUUUGUUUAAGAUUACAUAGCCUUUGUUUUGUUUAUUUAAAUAUCUUAUUUAAAUAUUUCAUUAGUUUAAUAGUUGUGUUUUAAGAUACAACGUUUUCACUUAAAUUUUUAAGCAGUU